CAGGUUUUGUUAGUAUCUCCAUUGGAAUAAAACCGGGAAAUACAUAAAUCCUGGACUGUUGGUGGACCACGAGGACUGGUUUGGGAACCACUGAGCUAGCCUAUUACCAUGUUACUAGGAGUAGAUUUCCUGCUUUCUUCUAUUCAGGGGCUUAUCUUCAGUACUCAUCCUAUUUUUGGGAGUGGUUAAUGUGUUUCUUGUGGGGUUGUGUUUUUUUUCUGGGUGGAUUAAACACAUGCAUAUAUUUCAUCGAAACGGAACGU